UAGUUCGAUCAUGGCUCAGGAUGAACGCUGGCGGCAUGCCUAAUACAUGCAAGUCGAACGGAGUGAAGCCUUCGGGUUUCAUUCAGUGGCGAACGGGUGAGUAAUACGCAGGGAACCUGGCCAUGGCAGGGGGAUACACUCUGGAAACGGAGCAUAAGACCCCAUAGGCAGUAAGGCGGCAUCGCCUUACUGUUAAAGAAAGCUGAAAGGCUUUGGCGAUGGAUGGACCUGCGGUGCAUUAGCUUGUUGGUGAGGCAACGGCUUACCAAGGCGAUGAUGCAUAGCCGGCCUGAGAGGGCGGACGGCCACACUGGGACUGAGACACGGCCCAGACUCCUGCGGGAGGCAGCAGUAGGGAAUUUUCGUCAAUGGGCGCAAGCCUGAACGAGCAAUGCCGCGUGAGUGAGGAAGGUCUUCGGACUGUAAAGCUCUGUUGCCGGGGAAAAAGGGGAAAUGCAGGAAAUGGCAUUUCAUGGAUGGUACCCGGCCAGAAAGCCACGGCUAACUACGUGCCAGCAGCCGCGGUAAUACGUAGGUGGCGAGCGUUAUCCGGAAUGAUUGGGCGUAAAGGGUGCGCAGGCGGUCUGUUAAGUCUGAAGGCAAAGGGAUGAGCUCAACUCAUUUAUGAUUCAGAAACUGGCAGACUUGAGGACAGGAGAGGGCGGUGGAACUCCAUGUGUAGCGGUAAAAUGCGCAGAGAUAUGGAAGAACACCAGUGGCGAAGGCGGCCGCCUGGCCUGUGACUGACGCUGAGGCACGAAAGCGUGGGGAGCAAAUAGGAUUAGAUACCCUAGUAGUCCACGCCGUAAACGAUGAGGAGCAGGUGUUGGGAGUGAAAUCUCAGUGCCGAAGCCAACGCAGUGACUCCUCCGCCUGGGGAGUAUGCACGCAAGUGUGAAACUCAAAGGAAUUGACGGGGGCCCGCACAAGCGGUGGAGUAUGUGGUUUAAUUCGAAGCAACGCGAAGAACCUUACCAGGUUUUGACAUCGGAUGCGAAGGCGCAGAGAUGCGCUGGAGGCUAUCAUCCAGACAGGUGGUGCAUGGUUGUCGUCAGCUCGUGUCGUGAGAUGUUCAGUUAAGUCUGGCAACGAGCGCAACCCCCGUGGUAUGUUACUAACGCUUUAGGGCGAGGACUCAUAUCAGACUGCCGGUGACAAACCGGAGGAAGGCGGGGAUGACGUCAAAUCAUCAUGCCCCUUAUGACCUGGGCUACACACGUACUACAAUGGCGUCUACAGAGGGAAGCGACCCUGAGAAGGGAAGCGAAACCGGAAAAGGGCGUCCCAGUUCGGAUUGAAGUCUGCAACCCGACUUCAUGAAGAUGGAAUCGCUAGUAAUCGCGGAUCAGCAUGCCGCGGUGAAUACGUUCCCGGGCCUUGUACACACCGCCCGUCAAACCAUGGAAGCCGGCAACGCCCGAAGCCGGUGGCAUAACCUUUUAGGAGUGAGCCGUCGAAGGCGGGGCCGAUGACUGGGGUUAAGUCGUAACAAGGUACCC
rnacentral:rRNA from 1 species